CCUACGGGAGGCUGCAGUGGGGAAUAUUGGACAAUGGGGGGAACCCUGAUCCAGCCAUGCCGCGUGUGUGAAGAAGGCCCUCGGGUUGUAAAGCACUUUCAGUGAGGAAGAACGCCUGGUGGUUAAUACCCAUCAGGAAAGACAUCACUCACAGAAGAAGCACCGGCUAACUCCGUGCCAGCAGCCGCGGUAAUACGGAGGGUGCGAGCGUUAAUCGGAAUUACUGGGCGUAAAGCGCGCGUAGGUGGCUUGAUAAGCCGGUUGUGAAAGCCCCGGGCUCAACCUGGGAACGGCAUCCGGAACUGUCAAGCUAGAGUGCAGGAGAGGAAGGUAGAAUUCCCGGUGUAGCGGUGAAAUGCGUAGAGAUCGGGAGGAAUACCAGUGGCGAAGGCGGACUUCUGGACUGACACUGACACUGAGGUGCGAAAGCGUGGGUAGCAAACAGGAUUAGAUACCCGGGUAGUC
rnacentral:rRNA from 1 species